GUUCAUAUAAACCUACCAUUAAAAUUAUAGACUGAUCAUUUCUUUGUCAGUGGGCAAACGUACAAAAUCAGCAGGGGAUCAAAUACUUUUUUCCCUCACUGUAAGUCAUACACACAUAGCGGGCUGGUUCAGGCCUGUCACGGACACUAGUCCAUCGGUCAGAAUACAUGAAGGAGAUGGAUGGGAGUGUGUCCAGUACUGUUGUGUUUAGAUCUGUGGCGUUGCUCUGUUUAUACUACGUCUGUCUGUCUGUCUGUGUAUGUUUUUAAACCCCUGCUACAGCGCAGCUCAAACCCACCACCCUCAGUAAGGUCUUAAAGUCUCUGUACCUCACACACACCAGUGUUUCCCUAUAUGCAGUUAAAUCGUGGCCGCCACUGAAAAUGUAGGAAGGAAAAAUAAGGGGAAAUACACACAUGCGUCAUACACAAGUAAAACAACAGUCCUCAUUCAUUUGUCUAGUUGGUUAGUCAUGUGUUGUGUGUGUACGUGCAUGCAGGUGAACACAGCGAUCCAGCUCUUCCUGGUAGCAGCAUCGUUGGCCUCAUCCGUCUUUCACUUCAGACAGUCCGCUCCUGCAGACCCUACGGUAUAUCACACAGGUAAUGACGACUGUCAGGCUACAGCUACUGUCACUACGGCAUGAAGACUCAUGCGGUGCUCAACGGUACUAAGUAACCAUGGCAACUCAACAGCGCCAAAUGAACUCCGCAACACCAAGUAACUGUUGCAACUUAACAUGCUUGCUGCACCCACCGGUCUGCCAGAGGACUCAAGUUGAACACACCCAUACUUGUGUAAACUCCAAAAUGAACUCUUGUGAACGUGUGUAUUUAUUAACCCUGUAUUGCCAUGGGAAUCAUCCUGGCAGAUUGACAGUUUUUUUUAAUCAGAUGAAUGUGAUUAAAUCAUGAACCUGCUCUGAUA